rnacentral:rRNA from 1 species
CCUACGGGUGGCAGCAGUGAGGAAUAUUGGUCAAUGGGCGAGAGCCUGAACCAGCCAAGUCGCGUGAGGGAGUACUGCCCUAUGGGUUGUAAACCUCUUUUGUCGGGGAGCAAAAGCCGGACGUGUCCGGCUGUGAGAGUACCCGAAGAAAAAGCAUCGGCUAAAUCCGUGCCAGCAGCCGCGGUAAUACGGAGGAUGCGAGCGUUAUCCGGAUUUAUUGGGUUUAAAGGGUGCGCAGGCGGAUUUUUAAGUCAGCGGUAAAAUCGUGGGGCUCAACCCCAUCCAGCCGUUGAAACUGGGGAUCUAGAGUGUGCGAGAGGUAUGCGGAAUGCGUGGUGUAGCGGUGAAAUGCAUAGAUAUCACGCAGAACCCCGAUUGCGAAGGCAGCAUACCGGUGCACAACUGACGCUCAGGCACGAAAGCGUGGGUAUCGAACAGGAUUAGAUACCCGUGUAGUC